UACGUAGGGGGCAAGCGUUGUUCGGAAUUACUGGGCGUAAAGCGCACGUAGGCGGACAUUUCCGUCCGGGGUGAAAUCCCGGAGCUCAACUCCGGAACUGCCUUUGAUACUGGGUGUCUUGAGUGUGGAAGAGGUGAGUGGAAUUCCGAGUGUAGAGGUGAAAUUCGUAGAUAUUCGGAGGAACACCAGUGGCGAAGGCGGCUCACUGGUCCAUUACUGACGCUGAGGUGCGAAAGCGUGGGGAGCAAACAGG
rnacentral:rRNA from 1 species